CCGCCCCAAGCUGGAGGGCACCACCGGAGAUUAAGCCAGGGCAGCCUUUGGAGUCAAAAACGGGUCUGUGGUUCCCUGGGAUGCAGGUGCCUGCGUGAUCCCAGAAGGUACCCCCGCCCCUGUGCAGGUCCCGAGGACAAAGGUCUGGCGCUGUCCAGCCCCUCCCCCAGGCGGCCAGCCGGGAAAGCCUCUGUGGUGUCCAGGGACAGGACGGUGAAGGAGAAAGUCUUAAGGUCCUUGUCGUGGAAGUGUUUACAAUGAAUGUACUGCUGCUGUUGAAAGAUAGGGAGUUCAGCGGUGCAUCCAGCUUCAAGCAAGGUCAAAUCAAGGGACUCAAAUUACGUCAUCAAGACACCAUCUCUUGCAGGCUCAACCAUCCUGAACCAGUAGCUGUGGCCAA